rnacentral:rRNA from 1 species
GUGGGUAGUUUGACUGGGGCGGUCUCCUCCUAAAGAGUAACGGAGGAGCACGAAGGUUGGCUAAUCCUGGUCGGACAUCAGGAGGUUAGUGCAAUGGCAUAAGCCAGCUUGACUGCGAGCGUGACGGCGCGAGCAGGUGCGAAAGCAGGUCAUAGUGAUCCGGUGGUUCUGAAUGGAAGGGCCAUCGCUCAACGGAUAAAAGGUACUCCGGGGAUAACAGGCUGAUACCGCCCAAGAGUUCAUAUCGACGGCGGUGUUUGGCACCUCGAUGUCGGCUCAUCACAUCCUGGGGCUGAAGUAGGUCCCAAGGGUAUGGCUGUUCGCCAUUUAAAGUGGUACGCGAGCUGGGUUUAGAACGUCGUGAGACAGUUCGGUCCCUAUCUGCCGUGGGCGCUGGAGAACUGAGGGGGGCUGCUCCUAGUACGAGAGGACCGGAGUGGACGCAUCACUGGUGUUCGGGUUGUCAUGCCAAUGGCACUGCCCGGUAGCUAAAUGCGGAAGAGAUAAGUGCUGAAAGCAUCUAAGCACGAAACUUGCCCCGAGAUGAGUUCUCCCUGAGACUUUAGAUCUCCUGAAGGAACGUUGAAGACGACGACGUUGAUAGGCCGGGUGUGUAAGCGCAGCGAUGCGUUGAGCUAACCGGUACUAAUGAACCGUGAGGCUUAACCUUACAACGCCGAAG